rnacentral:rRNA from 1 species
GAUGAACGCUAGCGGCAGGCCUAACACAUGCAAGUCGAGGGAGAAGCCUUCGGGCUGAAACCGGCGCACGGGUGCGUAACGCGUACACAAUCUGCCUUUCACAUAGGGAUAGCCCGAAGAAAUUUGGAUUAAUACCUAAUGGUAUAUAGGAGCGGCAUCGUUUUUAUAUUAAAGCUACGGUGGUGAAAGAUGAGUAUGCGUUCUAUUAGCUAGUUGGAGAGGUAACGGCUCCCCAAGGCGACGAUAGAUAGGGGUUCUGAGAGGGAUAUCCCCCACACUGGUACUGAGAUACGGACCAGACUCCUACGGGAGGCAGCAGUGAGGAAUAUUGGACAAUGGUCGGAAGACUGAUCCAGCCAUGCCGCGUGCAGGAUGAAGGUCCUAUGGAUUGUAAACUGCUUUUGUAAGGGAAGAAUAAGGAGUACGUGUACUUUGAUGACGGUACCUUACGAAUAAGCAUCGG